UAAAAAUUUAUUUAUUUUAGGUAGUAACAGAUUUCUUGAAACCUAAAGAAUUUGGCGGUAUUUUAAAUAAUUAGAGGAACCUGUUUUAUAAUUGAUAAUCCACAACAUAUCUUACCUAAAUUGAGCUUGUAUACCGUUGUUUUCAGAUGAUAUUUUAAAAUUAUAAUCAGAAUUAAAUAAUUUUUAUAAAUCAAAUCAAGGUGCAGCAUAUUUAGGUUUUAAUGGGUUACAAUAUAUUUAUAUAUUUACAGAUUAAUAAUGAAAAUAUUUUUGAAGGUGGAUUUAAAAGUAAUUUAAAAUUAAAAUGUUUAAGUGAAUAAAAAUUUAAAAUAUGC
rnacentral:rRNA from 1 species